GAAAUGCACAGAUUUCCAAGAGUUGAAAAAAUUCGACUUUUGGCCAGCUUUUUUCGAUUCUAGCCCACUGUGCAACGCGGGAGAGAAGUGCUUUGCUUUGACGUAACAAAGCACAGCAAACCUCCGCAAAGCGCGCUCCGCUGUGACAACAUUCACACUCGGUGAAAGGGGUGAAGCAUCUAAAAAGAGAGCAUCCCUUACAAUGAUGAACGGCGGCGGUGUAAACGUCGGCGGGCGUUAUUUCCGGUGGAAUCUGAAUCGCGGCACGUUUCGCUGCCGCGUAAAAUGCAAAAUCGAGAUGCAAAAUCCGAAAGCUCAGAUUUAGCGAUUUGCAUAUUUAAUGGACUCUGUCAAACUGCACGUCGAAGCGCGGCAGAAAUUAUUUAUUAUUAGUUCAAGACAAGUGCGCAUCGAUCUUGCUCAAAUGGAGAAUAACAAAGAUUUUCUUGGCUCAACUUUUUCGCUCGGCAUUUAUCGUAUUUACGGACGAUGCUAAACUGGGAUAUAACGCGAAACAAAGAGAGGUUUUAAGAGGCUUUCCUGCAUGCGGAAAACAGAGAGUGACAUCAUUAUCACAGCGCGCUAAUAUUUUCGCUCCGCAUUGUCGCUAUUCUUGCGAAUAUAAACGUGGAUUUUUACGUUCUCGCGUUUCAUUUCGCAUUUGUAUUCUCCCUCGGCUGCUACUUUCGCGAAGUAUUUAUUAUUCUUCCUGUACGGCGUCAUUUUGAUAACCUUUCCUUACAAAUAGUUAUUUUUCCACUAGUUAUCAAAGCGCGGGUCAUUGGAGCGUGACAUUUUUCGAGUCACGGGCAAAUAUUAAUUUUACUUACGCAUUUGAAUUAUCGUCAUACAUAUUAUGCGUGUAGCCACGCUUCCUUGAUAAUAUUAUUAACGAUAUACAGUACGGUAUCGCGAACCAUAUGAAAUGUCACGUUAAAUUUUUCGCAGCAGUGAGCGCAAUCGUGCCGCUAAUUAACACAAUGUCCUUUUAAUCGUUACUCUGCGAUUUUACUUCGCUUCUGUUCAAGAGCAUCUUAAGCACCAUUGUAAUUGCAUCGACGGAGUGCUAUGUAACAAGAGCAAAUCAGAUUUCAUCCAAUUUCGAAAUUCCUCGUCGAAGAGGAAUCAUGAAAAAAAAGGAUAGAAUAGAAUAGAAGGGAAGAGGAAUUGACACGUAUCACGAUUCUUAAUCAAGUUCACGUUGAUUAAUAGUCCUGCUGUCGAUUACAAAUGUAACCGUGCAUCCUUUCCUCUGUCCUUCUAUUCCUCUUUCUCUCGCCUUCCCCUCUGUUUUUCCCUUCGUUCUCCAACUUCUCUCUUGUCCCGACAAACACAAAGCAACGAGAUCAAUGAUAAAUAGAUACUGCCGCCUUCUCUGUGCUCGGAGCGAUUUCGCUCGAAUACACUGUGAGAUGAAACAGACGGUUGUUUCAUGCACAACACGUUGAUUCGAUGCAUUACGCUGUACGCAGAUGUUACAGCGACAUCCAGUUAAUUAUCUCUCUCUUUCGCGCUGAGAAUAAAUUAUUCACGGAUGAAUAAACAGUCAAUCAGUUAAAAUUUUAAUUUUUAAGUUUUAAUUUUUCUGCCAAUUCUUUUCUACUCCCGGCCACCGUUGUCAGGAUCAGCUACUCUGGUAUGCCAGAGCAGUGUCCGCGAUUUAAAAAAUAUGAAUUUCGAUUAAAAUAGAUUAGAUGCAAAUACUUUGCAUCCUCUCGAAUUAAGUUUUCUCCCGGAAGGAUACCUCAACUCGAAGCACCGUACGAACAUAAAUUAUUCAAAACAUUCUUGAAAUUGUAACGCGAUACCGAUCGUCUACUCUUUUCCUCCUGGUAAAAGCCAAGUUUUGUUUCUUUGCGCCGAGUCGGAACACCUCGUUGAAAGUAGCCGGCUUCGGAGAGCGAGUUCGCGAACUCGCACAACGGAGUUGUGCCGAUCAAACAUUCAGUAUGUAAUGCAGCUUAUGUAAUGCUUCGCCAGACGACUUCCAGAGCACACAGUUUAAUAGUCUUAUCUGCGACUUGUAAAAGUUUGUCGAUCUUCUCAGGGGAGUACACAAGAACAUUUAAUCUUACCGCGUAAGUAUGCGGUUACCGGAGACCGAAAAGCGGUCCAGUUUGCUCUUUCCCUUCCGCAUCGCUCAGAGGGAUUUUUAUUAAGUGCUCUCGCGCAGGCGGAAAGACUUGAACAUUCCCUUUCAGCCACAGAAAAUGGCUUUUGCCGGUAUUUCAGCGAUCUUAAGAGCCUUUUUACAUGAAACGAGAUUAUAAAUGGUCCGCGUGCAUUUUGGUCAUCCGUUUAGAUUUGUGUUGUUGACGGCUGUGAUAAAUUCAUUUGAACUGAUCUGCGACACUGAGCAUCAAGUGCGUCGAAACACGAUGACUAAAUUUGAUAAUUACUUGUUUAAAAAUACUGCAAGGUACACAGCAAUGUAUUACCUAUACGCGAACUAUGCGUCAGGAAAACAGCAAUCGGUUUUUCCAAUCUGCAGGCAAUUCGUAGCGAGAAACAAACAAAUUUUAAUGAAACCAGUGAUCUGCCUCAAACUACGUGUACUUCCUUUGAUGCACCAAGUCGAUGUAAUUACAAAAACUGGACGGAUGCAGUUCUCCAGCGGCCAAAAUAAACGUUACUCCACGCGACAAACAUUGAAGCAAAAAAUGUACUCCUUCGUGCUAUAGAAUCGUAAUAUGUUACAUUUAAAAUUUAAAUAGUCAUACUUAAUUAAAUAGUCGUCGUUAAUUAACAGUUUUUGCCAGAAAAGAGAAAUUCUCUUCUCCCAAAUUUCUAAAAAUUUCUGAAAAUAUUGCUUUGCUUUUCGAGUUGAUUCAACGCGAAGUUAACAAGUGACAAUUUGAAGAGGAAAUACGCGGGUUUUCACGAGGAAUUUCAGCGCAAUUUUAAUUUCGCGCACGCGAUCGAGAGAAUUACUAUACACAAGAUCGUCGCCACACGUCGAUUGCCCGCAUUAGAUUUGCAUUUCUAGUUAAAAAGCGGCAAUUUGCCGUCCGACCGUAUCUCGCUCGUGCUCCCUUGCUUUUUCUCCGACGAAGUCCCAAGGUCUCAUUACACUUAGGGAGAUCUCCGAGGACGAUGCAAUUGCGACGUCGCGCAAAGAAGCAAUCCCGAAGCGUCUGCAAUGUAAACGGCAAACACACUCUUUUUUCCCGACAUUUGUCGUUUCUUCUCCAUCCUUACAGACCUCCCAUCGUUAUUCCCUGAUGAUGUUAUUCUCUGGUGCUGCGCUUUUUAAACCGUUCCACCUUGCAAAAUCGCAAGGUGUACAGCGCUGAUGCGCAUAAAAGAUCUGCUGAGCAACCGGAAUUCACACUUGUUUCCUAAUGAGAAGAAUGUAACUGCUAUCACCAACAGUAUUAAUUACUCAUGCUUUGUAAGGAAGAUCUAUCUUGUCAAAGAAAUUUCGUCAUCUCUCCACAAAAAUCUUGGACGACUAAUUAUCUCGUGAUGUAAGAAGAAUUUUUCCUCGAAGAAUGUUCGAAAAAUAAUUUUCUACGGUGCGUUAUCUAAAAGAGAAAUUGUUCGCUGGCAUGUUCGAUAAAUAAUUAUCGUGGAACACACGGUGUAAAGCAUCUUCAUGCGCGUCGCGGUAUUUAUAAUUCAAGUUACAACAAGAACAAAACCCGCAGGACUAAGCCGAUUGGCAUUUUUGCGGUUAAUUAACUUCUCCGCGCUGUCAGCGAAUUGUUUCCCGACGUAGUAGAUAGGUAGUUGCAUAAACACGCCGCAAAUAGCGUGGCAAUUUGUCGACCCUUUGCGGCCUGCGGCGUCCGCUUUGCCUUUAUUCCAUCACCGUUCCGCCGCAUCACUCGCAGUCGCAAUCCUGCUCUCGCCCGUCGGGAUUGCUCUCUUUGCCCGGCCCUUAUCGAUCCCCUCGCGGCUUGAUUUCACGCCAAACACCGAAUCUAAAGGCGGAUCUAAGUCGAUUAACGUCCUCCUUUAGCCACUCAUCGCCUCCUCCUCUGCCUUCUAUCUUGUAGCUCCAAUAUAUCGUUACUUCUUUCGAUCGCUCGCGUCACAAUCUGUCCGCUUGUGCAACAUCAGUGAUCUAUCUCAUCGCGCGUCCUCCUUUUUUUAGGUAUUUUUAAUCGGCUUUGCUCAAUGAUACACAUAUUUCUCUUAUAGUCGACAACAAAGCGAAAUUUACAAUUUCUGAGAUCUGAGAUGAGAACUAUAAGGCUCAAGUCAUUUAAGGGAAGCACGUUAAUCAUCCAAUUCUACGAUGCAAUUAAUAGAUAAGUUCUGGGCUCGCUAGUGGUGCAAAUGAUUGAAAUUGAGUGCCAGCACCCUGGACCGGACGCGGACGAGGGCGAUUCUUGUCGAGACUCGGCGAUUGUGUAGUGGCGAUGACGACGCUUCAUUUCCUCGGCCCUCCCGAUCAAUAUCGGGUGUCAGCAGGACGGUUUUGUCGGCACAUGGCGGAGUUAGCAAGAAUUGAUUAUGGAACCAGAAAGGAGGAUAUGGCCGAGAUAAUGUGGACGCGCGGUCACCGGUCCCUUGGCGAUUUAACAAUCGACUUGUGCGCGCGCCUACGGAUCGUCGUGCCGGAUAAUUGAACUUGCGGAGCGCACACAGUUUCGCAGCAUUGCCACCUCGCAUUUGCAUUUUGAUCCGGAUUUCCACGUCUAACCGCUUCCUCCGUGAAAAUUCCGGGACGUCUUUCAGCGCUUCCCGUGCCACGUAAUUCGCUUUUCCUCCGUUUUCACGAUAAGCAAUGGCUUUUAAGAGUAACAUUGGAAGCAAUUACAACUCGGGAAUUAAACGCUGACUGCUAAAUGCAGAGGUAUAAGCAGACGCAGAGAUAUAAACUUCUAAACAGCAAAAUGUGUAUGCGUAUUUAGCUGUGUAUUUUUGCUAACACAAUCGCUGUCUUUACGUAUCAGCUUCCUUAUUAAUUAGCGGGAUGAAAAAAAAAGAAAAAUUGGAACAAAUGGCAGCGAGACAAAUAUAACGAAAAGUUACAAAGAAAGCGUUAAAGACUGCUAGAAGAAAAGAAGAAUGAAAGGAUUCGCUCGCCGUGUAACUUGAAUGAAAUCCGGAUAAUCCGGAAACAAAAACCUUCGGAUUUAACGUUUAGAUAACCAUAUAAUAGCAUUAAAAAUUUUAUAAUCAGCUUUUUUAUCUUGUUAAUGGGAUUCACGUCCGUUCUUAAGAGUUCUUUACGUAGCGAUAUAAUAACGGUGAUACAAGUAUACAAAAUACUGCGACGUGCUAGGUUGUAUCACCUAUUUUGCAUAAAUUCGCAAUUUUGAAAUUUACAUAUAUAUACUUUUUGUGUGUGCGUAAUAUAUUUUUAAGAUUCUUAGAAUUCUUUUAUGUAACGCAACGUUUGUGAUAAUUGAAGAUAAUACUCGAAAGACAGUGAACGCAUUUUUAGAAAUCUCCGAAAAAGCUGAGGACAAGUUAGACAUAUUAGAGGUUUAUAAAUUUAAUAAGUCUUUGCAAUUUUGACAAACAAAACUAGUAUUACGACGGCAUUAAAAUUUUCGAUUUUGCAGGGAAAUUGAUUAGCUCAAUGUCCGAUAACCUGGAAGUAAUACUGUUAAUUAAGGUCUCUCGAUAUUCUGACACGAAAUGAGAACCGUUAAGCUUUCAUCUUCACGUUAACAAUUAAUUAUCGCCUAAUUAUCAGUUAAUAUACAUUGUAACGAAGUUCCUCUACGUGUUAGCAGUUAUCGGAAACAAGUUGUUUUGAGCAUGCACAUCGAUAAAAUAAGAGCAAGAGAGAGAGACAUGUUCACAUAUCAACAUGUUGUGUUAAAACACAUAAUGUUUUAAGCAAUCAGUCUCUUGCGUGUAACUUUUUCCUCGUUUUAUCACGUUACAUUUAAAUGAUUGAAUUCAACCAACGAUAAUCCAAUCAUUAUAACUUCGCUAAAUAAUAGUUAUGGUAAAUUGCACGAGUAAGUUACUUUCGCGUCGCAUCGAUGAAACAAAAUUACGUGAGUCAUACCGCGGUUAGAAAUUAAUUAUUACCCGACCACGUAGUAACAAAAUUUCACGACUCCCCAUGGACGAAAAGGGCGAGCCGGCGGAAUUAAAAUUGCUGUGAAAUGACACGGUUACGUCAAGAUCUCUCCGGAUUAUCAAAGUCUCCGGGAAAUUCACCGUUAUUCUUGUGCCAUUUCUGUACAAGGAAAAUGUUUAACACUGCGAAAUGCGAUAUUCACAUUCUCGAGAGAACAUCUAUUAUACAUGUACUUUUUAACGCAGUCAGGAAAAAGCACUUUGUAAAACAUUUUUGAUACGAUGUACGCUGAAGUUUUAUUUUUCAUUAAAAAAUAUUGUAUCACAAAACUGCAAAUUCAGUAUUCAAAAGUAGAUCACAACAUCGCGAUAUGACGGUUUCAAUCUUUCUAUCGAACACACGCGUCGAUGUUGUAAUUAAUAAAACACGAUGAUAAAUUUCGAUAAAUUUGUAAGAGCCUUCGGAGAGAAAAAAGCUUUCAAGUGCUCUCUCAGCCAGAUUUAUUCAGCACGUGUAACGACGAUAACAAAGCUCGCUAAUUUAAGGGAAGAUGUAAAAAUUACCUCGAAAAAACAUCACUGCACGUAAAAUCGUGGCUGUUCAGAAAUUCACCAUGCGUUAUCAUUCCGAUAAAAAUUCAAACUUUCGUAAUUAAUAAGUUUCUCCGAUCGCGUGACGAAAGUUUGACAAUCAUCACUGAUCUCGUGAGAUUAUUCUCGCACCAUCCGAGAUUGAAUGCAAAUCGACUUAUGCUGCAAUAAUUAUAUAUCCACGCUUUAUUGUCUCCUUUCUAAUCGGAAAGAUGGGAAGUAAAUCGCAGUAUAUUUUUAAUGGCUUUUUAAGAUCCCAUUCGCGCCUUGAAGAUGAAGAUGCGUUUGAUAGUCACGCUAAGCGUGUUUAUCGGAAAAAUAACGACGAUGUAAAACAAAAAUACUGUGAAAUUAACCGAUCCUAUAUUGAAUAAACGGCCGUUUAAUGCAGCGUUAUAACGUAACUGCGAAAUUGCCUGACUCGCGUAGGAAGCGUAAACUGCAAAUUUGCGGAUAACGCGCAAAUUUUGAUCCUUCGUGUUUGCGAUGUAUCAUCAUUUACCGCAAUUAAUAUUCCGCGGCAAAUAUAUAAGUAGCUCGAA